rnacentral:lncRNA from 1 species
GGUCGAUGGUUCGAACGUGGAUUGGUUCAAUGGCGGUGGACGCCGACAGCUUGUCUGAUCACUUUGUUCAGUUCACCCAGUCAGUAGGUGGUCGGCGGGCACGACAAUCCUUUAUGCAGCUCAUUUGGCUCGCUCGUGUUUGGAUUAUGUGGCACGAGAGAAAUUACAAGUUGUUCAGGAACACAGCUUCUGUAACCACCCUAACCCAAUAUUCAAUUUAUCUUAAUAAAAGAAUGUUUGUUCAAAAACUACGCAGUGGAUAAAAAGUUUUAAAACUCGAAGUCGAAAUGAAUUAUGAAAUAUUGGCUCAAGGUGUUACAUUCUUCAUUAAAAAAACACUACUAAUAAAAUUGAGUAGUAAAUAUAACUUAUGCAAAAUUCCUUUUAUACAAUAUACACAUUUAAUUUAAAUAAAACAACAACAACAACAAAUAAAGACUCUAUGAACCCUUCCCCGUGUCACAAUCAGAGCGAAACUUUUACCAACAACUUGAACACCAACAAAUAUACAACCUGAGAACCUGAACCCCCAACGGUUCAGCACAACACAAAAUAGAGGUUAGAUAACAUAAUUAUUAAAAGUGACUGAAUAUAACGCAUAUCAGACACUGAAUAAAAUAAAUACAAUUGAGUAAAUUCAACUCAUACAAUCACCACAUAUACAGACAUGUAUUAGACAUAUUCAUUUAUCAAUUACUCGUCACAUUUGAGAAGUAAAAACUCUUGAACAAAGAAAUGAAAUACACAAUGUCGAGUAACAUUUAACAUUUAAGAAUGUCACAUAAUUUCUAAUGCAUUUUAAUGUCACAUAGAUAUGAUGUCACCUAGACAUAUCUAUAUGCAUGUGGUACCAAUUCAUCAUAAUCUUGGAUAACUUAACUCAAGUGUUUUAUAUCAUCGUCUCUAAAACAUUUUAGAUCAUCGUCUCUAGAAUAACAGUAAACUAGAUCAUCGUCUCUAGGAUACUCAUCAAUAGACUCAACUUAUGAAUGCAUGAAAUGUGCAUCUACCAAACAUAUGGUAUCAACUAUCAAUACAUCAUCAUUAUAAUAUGGAUAACUUAAUCCAUCUUCAUCAUCAUAAGCAUCAUCAUCAUCAUCAUUAUCAUCAUCAUCAUAAAAUAUAGCAACUUAGCUAAAUUAUUCACAUCAUCAUUAUUUUAAUUAAUAACUCAAAACAUCAUUGUUAACAUCAUCAAUUUAAUCAUUAACACAUAAUUAGUUAGCUACUCAAAACAUCGUAAUUUAAUCAACAUAGAUUAAUCAUCAAGAUCUACUAAUCCUAGGGAAAUUAGAAUUAAUCCACACUAACAUAGGUUUUUAAAGCAUUUUCAAGUUAAAACAGGGCCUUGUAUCGAUACAAAACACAACUUGUAUCGGUACAAGUUCGUUAUUAUUUCCAAGUUUCUACAUAAUUCACACAUGUAUGUAUCGAUACAUACACUCCUAUAUAUCGGUACAUACACGCGAUUUUCCAAACUAUCAAAAGGUAGGUUAACUUAAAUUCUACCUUUAGUACAUUUCAUUCAUUUACACAUUAUUAACAAACACUUGGAAGACACUAAUUUACAUCAAUCAUGAGAAUCAAAAUAAUCAUCACUAUUUUUACCAAAACAUGGAAAUACCCAAAUAACAACAAUCAACAACAACAACAAGUAAAAGCAUAGAUUUUUAUCAUAUUAUAACAUCAUCAAAUCAUGGAUAAACAUUUAUCAACAUGUGAUUCAACAUAAAAAUCUAUAAUAACACAUUCCCAAUUUCCCUCAAUUAAAACCCAAAACCCAAAAAGAGAUGUGAGAGUUUGAGCUAGAGAAAUGUGAUUUCUCCCCUCUCAUUAACCAUCUCAUCUCAUAGCUACAAAAUCCAACCUCUUACCUUGUAUUAAUGUUGGAAACUCUAGUCCUCCACUCCUCUUGAAUCCUCAAGCUCCAAGUUACUCUUUGCUCUUGCAUUUCUCUUCUUUUUCUUCAUUUUCCCCGAAUUCCUAACUGUACAUUGCGAGCAUGAUUUCUCCCACCUCAGACCUUAUUUUAACGAUCCCAACGGUCAAAAGUUGUGUUUGUAUGUUGCAAACCUACCCUCAAAAUCUUGUUGAGAUCCAACGGUUAACGAAUCUGCAAUCGAAGUUUUAGUGGAGCUGAUGCAUGGAAAACGAGAUUUGUUUCUCUACUCUCAUUCUUUCCCUUUUUCUUUCUUUUCUCCCUUCUCUUUCUUCCUCUCUUUUCUCUUCUUUAAGCCAAA